rnacentral:tRNA from 1 species
GCCCGAGUGGCGAAAUGGUAGACGCAGGGGAUUCAAAAUCCCCCGCCGCAAGGCGUGUCGGUUCGAGUCCGACCUCGGGCA